CACUCAGCUUUCUGAAAUGGUGUCCCACCGCAAGGACUGGAGAAGGGACUUUACUGAAGACUCUAAGGAGGACCUGUAUCUGUUGGGAUCCUCAGGGCAAGCCACAGAAACAAGCUUUGGAUACUAGAAGCAGAAAAUGGAGAUAUUGAAGACUAUUGUGGAGUUUACUGUGAGCCAGAGAACCAGGCUGGGGGGCUGUAUCACUUAGAAUGAGAUCCAAACUCACACCAUAGUUCCAUCCUUGAGGUUGCCAUGUUGCUGCCACCCCUCCUGCCACCCCACCACUGAAGCUUUGGAUGCUGGAUUCUGGGCACAGCAGGGAGAAGUGUUGCUUAUUACCAUUUUAGUAAACCUCAGGUUCUCCUCCUGCCUUUUGCUAAGUAUAUGUCUUGAUGACAAGCCUUCUGCUGAUGAGCUGUGUUUCUGGACCGAUCAUGGUAGAAGUCAAUUAACGUGUCCCUCACUUGGGGUUUCUCAAGGCUGCACUGAUGAGGAAACUGAAACAGAAAAUCCAGAGUAAAUUCCACCAGGCCACACAGCAAGGUCUGAUAGAGCCAGGAGAGACUUUAUGAAAUCCAGACUCUCACACUAAUGCUCUAUCAGCUAGACCUCCAUGUGAGUCUCCCCAAUGUAGGUAGGAAGUGCUUUCCCUAAAAUGCUCAUAAAGCAAAUCAGAGCAAUGCUGCAUUCCAUGUGAUUUCUAAUUU
rnacentral:lncRNA from 10 species